UACACACACAAACACACACAGACUAGUGAACUGGGGCCAUCAUCAAAUCACGGUGAGCAUUGUUACAUUUGAGGAGGAGAGUCAGUGGGCCGGAAAGACCCUGUGUAUGUCUGAGAGAUGGUAGGAGAGGGAACAGGACUCUGCUCACAUGUGUGUGUGUUUGAAGGUGGAGGAGCAGGGUGGGGCAGAUGAUGGAGGGACAGAGCGUAGUAAAAGGAAAGAGACAGGUCAGAUAAGGAGAAAAGAAGAAGAAAGGCCACUAGACGCACAGGAGGGAAAACAGAAAAGGAAAACAAACAAAAAAAAUGCAGGAAGGGAAACAAGAGAGAAGGUAGAGUUGGAGUAAAGUAAAAAAAAUGGGACAUAAAAAAAUGAAAAUAACUGAAAAGAUUCAGGGAUGAUGGGGAGGGUUAUGGAAAGGCAACAAAACACUCAAGGGAAGACGGAGGAAAAGAGUUGAAAAGGUGGGAGUAGAGGAGAAGUGAGGGAAGUCACAGAGGAAUAACUUCUGCCGCCCAUCCACACUUGCACCGCAGCUGCAGGUCGGCGAUGAAAUUCCUCCUGCUUUGCUUUCCAGAUGCGCAAUCUUGUGGUUGUGUUCCUAACCCCCUUUAUGUUUCUUUCAGGAGGAUUGUCCUCCAUUCCUGCAUGGAUAUAGAGGAUAGCAGGGCUGAAGGAGAGAAAAAAAAAACAUGUAUUUAACUUCAAGUCCUGAGGCAACACAUGUAUGUGUUGUGUCUGAAUGUAUUACUGCUGAAGCAG